rnacentral:rRNA from 1 species
UACGUAAGGUACGAGCGUUGUCCGGAAUCAUUGGGCGUAAAGGGCACGUAGGCGGAUAAACAAGUUAGAAGUGAAAUCCUAUAGCUCAACUAAAGUAAGCUUUUAAAGCUGCUCAUCUUGAGGUAUGGAAGGGAAAGUGGAAUUCCUAGUGUAGCGGUGAAAUGCGUAGAUAUUAGGAGGAAUACCGGUGGCGAAGGCGGCUUUCUGGCCAUAAACUGACGCUGAGGUGCGAAAGCGUGGGUAGCAAACAGG